rnacentral:rRNA from 1 species
GACUAACGCUGGCGGCGUGCCUAAUACAUGCAAGUCGAACGGGAUUCUUUGAUCAGCUUGCUGAGGGAAGGAUCCAGUGGCGGACGGGUGAGUAACGCGUGGGAAUCUGCCUCUUACUGGGGGAUAACAGUGGGAAACUACUGCUAAUACCGCAUAAGAUCUUCGGAUGAAAGGUGCAACUGCACCGGUAAGAGAUGAGCCCGCGUCCCAUUAGCUAGUUGGUGAGGUAAAGGCUCACCAAGGCGACGAUGGGUAGCCGGCCUGAGAGGGUGAACGGCCACACUGGGACUGAGACACGGCCCAGACUCCUACGGGAGGCAGCAGUAGGGAAUCUUCCGCAAUGGGCGCAAGCCUGACGGAGCGACGCCGCGUGAGUGAUGAAGGCCUUCGGGUCGUAAAGCUCUGUUCUUGAGGACGAAUAAGCCAGGGGGUGGAAAGCCCUGGUGAUGACUGUACUCAAGGAGAAAGCUCCGGCUAACUACGUGCCAGCAGCCGCGGUAAUACGUAGGGAGCUAGCGUUGUCCGGAAUUACUGGGUGUAAGGGCGCGCAGGCGGUUUCAUAAGUCAGGUGUGAAAGCCCGGGGCUCAACUCCGGAUAUGCACUUGAAACUGUGAGACUAGAGUGUGAGAGA